rnacentral:misc_RNA from 1 species
GAGUGUGCGUUGCGCAAUUAAAACGUCCAAACCCUUUUAAACCCCAUUUGAUUGAAAACUGAAGUAUACUGUGGGGACGAAAGUCCUCGCUUUGAAACUAGAUAACAACUUUCAGCAGUGGAUGUCUAGGCUCGCACAUCGAUGAAGAACGCUGCGAACUGCGAUACGUAAUGCGAAUUGCAGGAUUCAGUGAGUCAUCGAACUUUUGAACGCAUAUUGCACUUUCGGGUUACGCCUGGAAGUAUGUCUGUAUCAGUGUCCGUACACUAAACUUGCGUCUCUUCCGUCGUGUAGUCGUCGGUUGUUUGAUUGCAGAUGUGAGGUUUGUCUCGCGAUGUCCCAAUUUGUUUAUUGGAUAGGUUGCGAGUCCCUUUAAAGUCGGACGCGUGUUUUUCCGUUUUGUGCUUGAUGGGGUGCGGCUGCGGCCGUGUCUGCUGGCGGGUCCGGUGACCUUUGGCGAUGGCAUGAGAGUGGAUUGCUCGAUUUGCGGUAUGUUAGGCUUCGGCUUUGACAAUGCAGCUUAUUGUGUGUGUUCGCUUGGCUGUUGCUGUAUGGGUGAGCUGGAUGGUCGGUGGAUGCGUUUGUUGCGUGUCGUUUUCAUUGAGUGCGUUACGGGUUGUCGUCGCCAUUUGGGAAUUUAAUGUUUUGAGUUUCGAUUCAAUACAUCUCA